GAUGAACGCUGGCGGCGUGCUUAACACAUGCAAGUCGAACGGGAUCCAAGGGGUGCUUGCACUUUUUGGUGAGAGUGGCGAACGGGUGAGUAACACGUGAGUAACCUGUCCUUUUCUUUGGGAUAAGCAUUCGAAAGGGUGUUUAAUACCUUAUGUUCUGUCUGCCUCGCAUGGGGUGGGUGGGAAAGGCUUUGGCCGGAUUUGGGUGGGCUCGCGGUCUAUCAGCUUGUUGGUGGGGUGAUGGCUUACCAAGGCUUUGACGGGUAGCCGGCCUGAGAGGGUGGUCGGUCACAUUGGGACUGAGAUACGGCCCAGACUCCUGCGGGAGGCAGCAGUUGGGGAUAUUGCACAAUGGGCGAAAGCCUGAUGCAGCGACGCCGCGUGGGGGAUGAAGGCCUUCGGGUUGUAAACUUCUUUUGCUCUGAACAAGGCAUGCCAGUGGGUGUGUUGAGUGUAGGGGUUGAUUAGCGCCGGCUAACUACGUG
rnacentral:rRNA from 1 species